rnacentral:lncRNA from 1 species
GCAAGCAUCUCGAAUUUAUCCCAGAAUAUCCCUCUGGAAUAUUAUCUUCAUUGGACGAAUCUACUUCCCGAUAACACCACCAUUUGUUAGAGAGGGACCCAAAUACAUCGAUCAAUUUGCUUUCUCUCUUAUCUCUCGCUCCUCCCCUCCUGUAACUCCUCUCUCUCUCUCUCUCUCUCUCUUUCUCUCUCUCUCUCUCUCCAAAUCCAUUUACAUUUCCUCUCCACAAACGAAUUAUUCAUUCAUUCAUCUACUUGCAAGCUCACCUAAUUGUUCAUCUCGAAGGUGCGGGAGAACUUGGGGAGGUAAGUAAUAGAUCUUUUCAUCUUUUCUUUUAUACUAUUUUGUUGCCGUUAUUUUUGAGCUUCUUAGUUAAUUUUAAUGCUGGUUCUCCCUGCUGAUGCUGUUGUAAGGAAAAUUUCGUUGAUUAUGAUAAUUGUAUGAACAAAGUUGUUUGGCACGGGAGCAAGUCUCCAUUGGAGGCUUGAUUUAUAGAUAUUGCAUUCAGUUCAAGUGGUGGCACGGAGAUUGGCCCUUCAUUGUCUUGGUUUGACUUUUUCAAAUUAAUAAGUUUUGUCCUCGUCUAAUCAAAUAUUAAAUUCAACCCAUCAACCUUGUUGAUCAAUGAUAACAAAACUUGCUUUGUCCUUAAAUUCGAUGCCCAUAAUUUGUUAUCAGUUGUACCGUAGCAUAAUUGGUUGCAUUUAUGUGGGCGCACGGCACGUCUGCGGGACAAAAAUUUCCUGGGCACCGUGCCCAAACAAUUUGUUUGGGCACGGUGCCCGGAUGGGCGCCGCGUGUGCAGUGGGGCCAAUCCGCACCCUCCCUUCCCCCUCUCUUUUUCUCUCUUCCUAAAAACCGAGCCCACCAUUUUUAUUAUUUUUUUUUGAGGGUGCCGAUGGGCGCCGCUACACACGCGGCGCCCAUCCGGCACCGUCCCCAAACAAAUUUUGUUUGGGCACGGUGCCCAGAAAAUUUUUGUCCACGUCUGCGUGUCUGAUAGCAGAAUUUUUAUUACCAUUGGGUUGUAAUAUGACCGCAACCUCUAUCAGUAUUCUGAUACUCGAUCCAAACUGUAGCCAAUUAUCACAAAAUACGAAGUAUAGCAAUCCAAAUGUAUGUUGUUUGUGAACUUCGAUAAUCUAAGGAAAAUCAAGGGUAUCUCAGUACGUUUAACAAGUGUAGAAAUAACAUUUCACAGAGAUUCUCUCCGUGGCGACUGCCCUUAGGUCCUCUUAAAUGUUAUUGAUAAAUUGACAUUCCUAUGUAUUAGCAUGUUAGCAGCUUAAUUUUUAGACCUGUGAAGUAAUUCAUGAAUAUUUACUUCUCAGCAGUACUUGAGAAAAGCACUAGGCUAUGCAAAAGCAUUACCGGGUAGCAUUUGCGGUCCAUAUGAUGUUUUCCGACUUCCCAAAGGUUACAUUCUCCAUUAGAACGAGUUAUUCAGUAAUGACUUACACAGCAUAUAAAUUUUUUUUAGUAUUACAAAGUGAUGUGCGGAAUGAAAUAUUUCCAAAUCCAAACAAGCUCGAAGUAUCAAUAGCUUUUGGAAGUCAAUCAUUACUACAAAUUAGCAAUCUAGAUGCGUUGUGACCUUUUCCAGUUUCUGGCUUUUAACGCUCAACAAUAUUCUGUAAUAGACCAGAUAUUAUAAUUACACAGCUUACAUAUAUAAUUCAUCUUUUUUUUUUUUGUUUUGUUUUGUUUUGGUAGGCAUCUAUACGGCAACAGCAUACUAGGAAAAUCGGAACAUAUGAUAGGAAUCAUUUUGCUUCCAUGACAAGAUAAUAACUGAGCUUGAAUCAUCCAUGAUACAUAAACUGU